rnacentral:tRNA from 1 species
AUUCAGUUGGUAGAGUACAAAGCUCUUAACCUUGUGGACAUGGGUUCAAGCCCCAU